CACACCGCCUUUCCAGCAAGGGAGGGGGAGAGGCUUCCCCGGAAACCGAGGUCUGCCCUUCUGCAGCAUCUGAAGGAGGGGUGGGCUCGCCCCGUCCGCAAGAAGCGGGGGUCUCGCUUAGGGAGCCACUGAAUGGCCGAGGAGGAACAGCCCCCCCCCCGGCCCCUUCUCUGCAGAUGGAUGAAAAUGCACCUUGAAGACCCCCACCCCACCCCAGUCCUUUCCGGCUCUUCCCCCCCCCCUCCGCUGAAGACGCGAAGAAGUUCAACCAAGAAACGGGCGAUCUCGAAGGCCUUGCAAAGUUGAGUCUAAGAAAGGGCGCAAAGCAGGCAGCGCGGAGAACCGACGCCUCCAGUUUAGGAAAGGGGCCGGCACGCACCGAAGGGAAAGGAAAAGAUGCUGGAAAAGACGCGUCGUCGGAAAAGAGCAGAGCUGCUGCGGUCUCAAGAAGACGAGUGGAUUGAACGGAAGGCGCUAAACUCCUAAUCAGAAAAUCGAGCGACGUCCCACGCUAUGAACGAACAACAGCGAUUGUCGUUCUUUGGUUGCGAGCGUGAGAUUGUAGCCCCGAGCAAUUCUUCUCCAGCAACUUCCUUCCUUUUUUUUUUUUUUUUUUCCUUUGGGAAGCAAUUGGUUUGACGCACGCCAAAAGAAAUUGUAAUUCUCUUCUAAGAAGGCCAAAAUAAAUAUUGGGUUGCUUGUU